rnacentral:rRNA from 1 species
GACGAACGCUGGCGGCGUGCUUAACACAUGCAAGUCGAGCGGCAGCGGGAAGUAGCUUGCUACUUUGCCGGCGAGCGGCGGACGGGUGAGUAAUGUCUGGGAAACUGCCUGAUGGAGGGGGAUAACUACUGGAAACGGUAGCUAAUACCGCAUAACGUCGCAAGACCAAAGAGGGGGACCUUCGGGCCUCUUGCCAUCAGAUGUGCCCAGAUGGGAUUAGCUAGUAGGUGGGGUAACGGCUCACCUAGGCGACGAUCCCUAGCUGGUCUGAGGGGAUGACCAGCCAAACUGGAACUGAGACACGGUCCAGACGCCUGCGGGAGGCAGCGGUGGGGAAUAUUGCACAAUGGGCGCAAGCCUGAUGCAGCCAUGCCGCGUGUAUGAAGAAGGCCUUCGGGUUGUAAAGUACUUUCAGCGGGGAGGAAGGUGUUGAGGUUAAUAACCUCAGCAAUUGACGUUACCCGCAGAAGAAGCACCGGCUAACUCCGUGCCAGCAGCCGCCGUAA